rnacentral:rRNA from 1 species
CCUACGGGCGACAGCAGUGAGGAAUAUUGGUCAAUGGGCGCGAGCCUGAACCAGCCAUGCCGCGUGAAGGAUGACUGCCCUACGGGUUGUAAACUUCUUUUAUACAGGAAUAAAGUGAGGCACGUGUACCUUUUUGUAUGUACUUUAUGAAUAAGGAUCGGCUAACUCCGUGCCAGCAGCCGCGGUAAUACGGAGGAUUCGAGCGUUAUCCGGAUUUAUUGGGUUUAAAGGGAGCGUAGAUGGGUUGUUAAGUCAGUUGUGAAAUGUUGCGGCUCAACCGUAAAAUUGCAAUUGAUACUGGCAGGCUUGAGUGCAGUUGAGGUAGGCGGAAUUCGUGGUGUAGCGGUGAAAUGCUUAGAUAUCACGAAGAACACCGAUUGCGAAGGCAGCUUACUAAACUGCUACUGACGUUGAGGCACGAAAGCGUGGGUAGCAAACAGGAUUAGAUACCCGGGUAGUC